rnacentral:ncRNA from 1 species
AACAAAGUCGCCUGAGCGGAGAGAACAGGCAGAUCGUAAAGACGCCGUAAAAUCAUCCCUGAUGGCUCGAGCCGCGCCCUCCCUGGCGCGGACGCUUU